rnacentral:tRNA from 1 species
AUGUGGCUCGAACACAUUCGCCGGCGCGGGUGGCAGGCGGCCGCCGCGGUCGAGGCCGACGCGGCCGAGGGCGGUGCUGUGCCGCCGGCGCAGG